rnacentral:rRNA from 1 species
AGCGGCGGACGGGUGAGUAAUACGUAGGGAUCUGCCUCGAAGCGGGGGAUAACAUUGGGAAACUAGUGCUAAUACCGCAUACUACUCUGAGGAGGAAAGCUGGGUUUACCUGGCACUUUGAGAUGAACCUACGUCCGAUUAGCUAGUUGGUAAGGUAAAGGCUUACCAAGGCGACGAUCGGUAGCUGGUCUGAGAGGACGGACAGCCACACUGGGACUGAGACACGGCCCAGACUCCUACGGGAGGCAGCAGUGGGGAAUAUUGGACAAUGGGGGCAACCCUGAUCCAGCGAUGCCGCGUGUGUGAAGAAGGCCUGCGGGUUGUAAAGCACUUUUGUUGGGGAAGAAGGUUAUGGCUGUGAAUAGCAGUCAUGAUUGACGGUACCCAAAGAAUAAGCACCGGCUAACUCUGUGCCAGCAGCCGCGGUAAUACAGAGGGUGCAAGCGUUAAUCGGAAUUACUGGGCGUAAAGGGCGCGUAGGUGGGAUAAUAAGUUGGAUGUGAAAGGCCUGGGCUUAACCUAGGAAUUGCAUUUGAUACUGUUAUUCUAGAGUGAAACAGAGGGUGGUGGAAUUUCCGGUGUAGCGGUGAAAUGCGUAGAUAUCGGAAGGAACACCCGUGGCGAAGGCGACCACCUGGGUUUUUACUGACACUGAGGCGCGAAAGCGUGGGUAGCGAACAGGAUUAGAUACCCUGGUAGUCCACGCUGUAAACGAUGAAUACUAG